CCUACGGGAGGCAGCAGUGGGGAAUAUUGGGCAAUGGAGGAAACUCUGACCCAGCGACGCCGCGUGCGGGAUGAAGGCCUUCGGGUUGUAAACCGCUUUCAGUAGGGAAGAAGCGAAAGUGACGGUACCUACAAAAGAAGCACCGGCUAACUAUGUGCCAGCAGCCGCGGUAAUACAUAGGGUGCAAGCGUUGUCCGGAAUUAUUGGGCGUAAAGAGCUCGUAGGUCGUUUGUUACGUCGGAUGUGAAAACCUGAGGCUCAACCUCAGGCCUGCAUUCGAUACGGGCAAACUAGAGUUUGGUAGGGGAGACUGGAAUUCCUGGUGUAGCGGUGGAAUGCGCAGAUAUCAGGAGGAACACCAAUGGCGAAGGCAGGUCUCUGGGCCAAUACUGACACUGAGGAGCGAAAGUCUGGGGAGCGAACAGGAUUAGAUACCCUGGUAGUCCAGACCGUAAACGGUGGGCACUAGUUGUGGGAACCUUCCACGGUUUCUGCGACGCAGCUAACGCAUUAAGUGCCCGCCUGGGGAGUACGAUCGCAAGNUUAAAACUCAAAGGAAUUGAACGGCUGAGACGUGCGAGCGCGACGAGGAGAGG
rnacentral:rRNA from 1 species